rnacentral:rRNA from 1 species
GACGAACGCUGGCGGCGUGCUUAACACAUGCAAGUCGAACGGUGAAAGCGGAGCUUGCUCCGCUGGAUCAGUGGCGAACGGGUGAGUAACACGUGGGCAACCUGCCCCUCACUUCGGGAUAACUCCGGGAAACCGGGGCUAAUACCGGCUAUGACCUCCUUGGGCAUCCUUGGAGGUGGAAAGUUUGUCGGGGAGGUAUGGGCCCGCGGCCUCUCAGCUUGUUGGUGAGGUAUGGGCUCACCAAGGCGACGACGGGUAGCCGGCCUGAGAGGGCGACCGGCCACACUGGGACUGAGACACGGCCCAGACUCCUACGGGAGGCAGCAGUGGGGAAUAUUGCGCAAUGGGCGAAAGCCUGACGCAGCAACGCCGCGUGCGGGAUGACGGCCUUCGGGUUGUAAACCGCUUUCAGCAGGGAAGAAGCCGCAAGGUGACGGUACCUGCAGAAGAAGCACCGGCUAACUACGUGCCAGCCGCCGCCGUAA